AGAAUGACUCUCGGCGACGGAUAUCUAGGCUCUUGCAUCGAUGAAGAACGUAGCGAAAUGCGAUACUUGGUGUGAAUUGCAGAAUCCCGUGAACCAUCGAGUCUUUGAACGCAAGUUGCGCCCGAUGCCAUUAGGUUGAGGGCACGUCUGCCUGGGUGUCACAU
rnacentral:rRNA from 1 species